GAAGCAAUGGUGACAUAGUUCCAAGUUGGAUGGGAGUUGCAGGCGAUGGCGUUCCCUUGAACCUGCUCCAUGCCUUCAAGGUGCUUUUGAAAGACCUUCGGUGGAGUGUCACACCAGCUGUAUUGCUUUGGAUAAAGACCAAAGAGGAAGUUUGAUCUCCCGCUUUUGGCUUUUCUGUGAUAUUGCGAAGGAAACUGCAUCUUGAUCCAUAAGGUUUGAAAACAUGAAGAGAAUUUUCAAGGCCGAGAAUCACAGGAAACGCCCCUGACACACUUCAGAGCUAUUAACUUAAUGAAAGUCUUUAAUAAUUAAAGAUUUUUUUC